UACAGAGGUCCCAAGCGUUGUUCGGAUUUACUGGGCGUAAAGGGCGCGUAGGCGGCCUGUGCAAGUCAGUUGUGAAAUCUCCGAGCUUAACUCGGAACGGUCAACUGAUACUGCUCGGCUAGAGUGCGGAAGGGGCAACCGGAAUUCUUGGUGUAGCGGUGAAAUGCGUAGAUAUCAAGAGGAACACCUGCGGCGAAGGCGGGUUGCUGGGCCGACACUGACGCUGAGGCGCGAAAGCUAGGGGAGCGAACGGG
rnacentral:rRNA from 1 species